UACAGAGGGGGCGAGCGUUGUUCGGAAUUACUGGGCGUAAAGGCGCGUAGGCGGCCUUCUAAGUCGAACGUGAAAUCCCCGGGCUCAACCCGGGAACUGCGUCCGAUACUGGGAGGCUUGAAUCCGGGAGAGGGAUGUGGAAUUCCAGGUGUAGCGGUGAAAUGCGUAGAUAUCUGGAGGAACACCGGUGGCGAAGGCGGCAUCCUGGACCGGUAUUGACGCUGAGGCGCGAAAAGCUAGGGGAGCCAAACGGGG
rnacentral:rRNA from 1 species